rnacentral:rRNA from 1 species
CCUCGGGAGGCAGCAGUGGGGAAUUUUGGACAAUGGGGGAAACCCUGAUCCAGCCAUCCCGCGUGAGUGAAGAAGGCCUUCGGGUUGUAAAGCUCUUUCGAAAGUGAAGAAAACUUAUUUCGUAAUAUGUUAUAAGUAUGACGGUAACUUUAGAAGAGGCACCGGCUAACUACGUGCCAGCAGCCGCGGUAAUACGUAGGGUGCGAGCGUUAAUCGGAAUUACUGGGCGUAAAGCGUGCGCAGGCGGUUUUGUAAGUCAGAUGUGAAAUCCCCGAGCUUAACUUGGGAACUGCGUUUGAAACUACAAGACUAGAGUGUGUCAGAGGGGGGUAGAAUUCCACGUGUAGCAGUGAAAUGCGUAGAGAUGUGGAGGAAUACCAAUGGCGAAGGCAGCCCCCUGGGAUAACACUGACGCUCAUGCACGAAAGCGUGGGGAGCGAACAGGAUUAGAUACCCUGGUAGUCCACGCCCUAAACGAUGUCAACUAGUUGUUGGUGGA